UCUAGCUUUUAUAUAUUAACUUGUGAUCAGAGCAACUGGUAUGUUGGUUGGAUAUUUUACAUAUCCAUUCGAUGUUUAUCACCAGAAGUUAGUUCUACCUUUGCAGUACCUCUGCUCUACAUACCUCCUCGCUGGUUAAAGAAUGGAAUAUAAAUCUCAUAUCAAGUUGGUGUAAAAAUUUAGUUCAAUAAAUUAAGAAUUUGUAAACGUUAUCAAAAUUUUGAGUGGAGCAAUUGUUUUUCUGGUUUAGCAUGAGUAUGAAUCUGAUAUCAAUUGGAUGUACAAAGAUAGUUUACAACUUAAAGAACCUAUCAGUAAACCAACUGAUUAUUAAACAGUUUUUAAUGGGAAUAAAAACAAAUUUUUAAAAGA
rnacentral:lncRNA from 1 species